UGCAUCGAUGAAGAACGCAGCGAAAUGCGAUACGUAGUGUGAAUUGCAGAAUUCCGCGAAUCAUCGAGUCUUUGAACGCAAGUUGCGCCCGAGGCUUGUCCGAGGGCAUUUCCGCUAGAGCGUCACCGCGCCCCCCACCGAUCCACUCUCGCCGCGAGGCGCCUGUCGGUUCGAGUGCAAGUGGCCGUCCCGGUGAAGUGGCCUUCUUUCACGAGGAGGCUAAGUUACGGGUCGGCUGAAAUGGAUGGAAUUGGGCCGCCGUGGUGACACAGUCCGCGAUCGGGUGAUUUUGUCGCGAGCCUCCUGAGGUUCUUGGUGAAUUUUUCUAAGUGCUUGGCUGCGUCCCCCAGUUGGCUMGGGUUACCUCAUGCAGGUCGAGCGCGCCCCCCGCGGCGCGCGUCACGCAUCAGACCUCUAAUCGGAAAAGACUACC
rnacentral:rRNA from 1 species